GUAAGGAAACUGGUGUUCAAAGAGGUUGAAGGACUUGGUCAAAGAACAUAAACGGUGGUCCUCCAGAUUCACUGUCUACCCUCCACUCUGCUCUCAGCCCAGGAAACUGAUCCAUCAAGGCUGUAUCAAUAGACACCCUCACUCCCUGGCUUGCCCAAAGGGAGCUCUGGCAGGAGAUGAGAACAAAGAGCAGGAUGAGCUCCAGCAACAACUGUUUCUUGUGACUUUCUGUGGGACUCUGAGGAAUGUUGGGAUGAUAAUCACAGGAACCAAUGGCUGCCUCUGGAAAGCCCAUAAUUCUGCACAUUCAUGGAGCUUCACUCUGAUUCCAAAUCCAGAAAGACCACCAUGUCACUUAUGGAGACACUUGAAAUCCUUUCCACAUCUUCACUCAUCACGCCUGGGGUGAGAACUAGGAAUACGUGAAUAAACCAAUAACACGUUACUGAAGUCAGUUUCGAGUUUUGCCUGCUAUGAACUUAGAAACAACUCCAUUUCUCUCAGCACUAGAUGGCCUGUUCAGAGUGUAUGUGUGUGUGUGUGUGUGUCCUCAUGUGUGCAGAGACAGAAAGAGACAGAGGGAGAGAACGCAAUAUUUAGUUUUGAAGAUAUUACACUUAUAAUUAUGCUUUCAGAAGCCUGUUUCUGGGAGUACC
rnacentral:lncRNA from 1 species